rnacentral:rRNA from 1 species
UACGGGGGGGGCAAGCGUUGUUCGGAAUUACUGGGCGUAAAGCGUACGCAGGCGGCUUUGCAAGACAGGUGUGAAAUCCCCGGGCCUAACCUGGGAACUGCAUUUGUGACUGCAUGGCUAGAGUUUGUCAGAGGGGGGUGGAAUUCCACGUGUAGCAGUGAAAUGCGUAGAUAUGUGGAGGAACACCGAUGGCGAAGGCAGCCCCCUGGGAUGUGACUGACGCUCAUGUACGAAAGCGUGGGGAGCAAACAGG